rnacentral:rRNA from 1 species
GUGCCAGCAGCCGCGCGGUAAUACGAAGGUCCCAAGCGUUGUUCGGAAUCACUGGGCGUAAAGGGAGCGUAGGCUGUGCGGUAAGUCAGAUGUGAAAUCCCGGGGCUCAACCCCGGAACUGCAUCCAAUACUGCCAUACUAGAGGAUUGGAGAGGUAGCUGGAAUUCACGGUGUAGCAGUGAAAUGCGUAGAUAUCGUGAGGAACACCAAUGGCGAAAGCAAGCUACUGGACAACUCCUGACGCUGAGGCUCGAAGGCCAGGGUAGCGAAAGGGAUUAGAUACCCCUGUAGUCCUGGCAGUAAACGGUGCGCGCUUGGUGUGAGAGGAUUCGACCCCUCUUGUGCCGGAGCUAACGCGUUAAGCGCGCCGCCUGGGAAGUACGGUCGCAAGACUAAAACUCAAAGAAAUUGACGGGGACCCGCACAAGCGGUGGAGUAUGUGGCUUAAUUCGAUGCAACGCGAAGAACCUUACCAAGGCUUGACAUGCAUCUCUAAUCGCGUGAAAGCGCGUGACCCUUCGGGGGAUUUGCACAGGUGCUGCAUGGCCGUCGUCAGCUCGUGUCGUGAGAUGUUGGGUUAAGUCCCGCAACGAGCGCAACCCCUGUGAUCAGUUGCCAGCACAUAAUGAUGGGAACUCUGGUCAGACUGCCCAGAUCAACUGGGAGGAAGGUGGGGACGACGUCAGGUCAGUAUGGCCCUUACGCCUUGGGCUGCAGACGUACUACAAUGCCCAGUACAAUGAGAACCGAUACCGCGAGGUGGAGGAAAUCUACAAAACUGGGCCCAGUUCGGAUUGGAGGCUGCAACUCGCCUCCAUGAAGUCGGAAUCGCUAGUAAUGGCACAUCAGCUACGGUGCCGUGAAUACGUUCCCGGGUCUUGUACACACCGCCCGUCAAAUCCAUAUG